UGUGGUGCUUCAGUGGGCGCUUGAACAUGACGUCACAUCACUUUUAAAUACCGCUUGCUUUCUUCGUCAUAUCCUCUUUCCGUUGCUCUUCUCGCUCUGAGAAACCUCUCCACACGAUGAGAGCCAAGUGGAGGAAGAAGCGUAUGCGCAGGCUGAAGCGUAAAAGGAGAAAGAUGAGGCAGAGGUCAAAGUAAGCCCCUCCUCCUCGCCAGCUGUGAUCCCAUCCGAACCUCUCCAGGUGACUGACACGUGCGGACGAAGGGGGAUCGCUCGGAGCCGAAAUUAAAGGCGUAAACUCCAUGAUUUCAGAUGACCGCACCUCUCGCUGAGCCCGCUGUAAUGGUCUGACUGGAAGACGGUGAAGAUGCUGGAGAGAACAACAGAACUGCAGCUGCAUUGUUCAUGGACCAUAAUACAUCUUGUCUGUACAAUUGUUACGUGGUGUUUUGAACAAUAAAUGAACACUGUUAUAAAUUACCCACAA